GAUGAACGCUAGCGGCAGGCUUAAUACAUGCAAGUCGUGGGGCAGCAUGAAUGUAGCAAUACAUUUGAUGGCGACCGGCAAACGGGUGCGGAACACGUACACAACCUUCCUAUAAGUGGGGAAUAGCCCAGAGAAAUUUGGAUUAAUACCCCGUAACAUAAUGAUGUGGCAUCACAUUAUUAUUAUAGCUUCGGCGCUUAUUGAUGGGUGUGCGGCUGAUUAGGUAGUUGGCGGGGUAACGGCCCACCAAGUCUACGAUCAGUAGCUGAUGUGAGAGCAUGAUCAGCCACACGGGAACUGAGACACGGGCCCGACUCCUACGGGCGGCAGCAGUAAGGAAUAUUGGUCAAUGGACGCAAGUCUGAACCAGCCAUGCCGCGUGAAGGAUUAAGGUCCUCUGGAUUGUAAACUUCUUUUAUCUGGGACGAAAAAAGGCGAUUCUUCGUCACUUGACGGUACCAGAUGAAUAAGCACCGGCUAACUCCGUGCCAGCAGCCGCCGUAAAAC
rnacentral:rRNA from 1 species